GGCCCGGUGGCGGAAUAGGCAGACGCUGGGGACUUAAAAUCCCUUGGCCGCAAGGUCGUGAGGGUUCGAUUCCCUCCCGGGCCACCA
rnacentral:tRNA from 1 species